GUUAGAGCAGUUCUCGUUCUCGAGUCAAGAACCGGUUGCGUCGGUUUUCGGAUUACCAGUACCUACACUGAACCGAGAACCGUUUCUUUCUGUUACGUCCUAUAUGAGAAAUGAUGAAAAGAGAUACUGCGCAUGGCUGAUUCAGCGUGAAGCUACCGAACAGUACAUUAUUGCCUUCUAUAGCUGUGUCCAAAAGUGAAGUGCACGGACUCCGAAGUGCGCAUUUGAAGUGCGACUGCGUUACAGCGUCGCGAUGUAAGCUGACUUCAAAUGCACCCUCUGUUUCCCAGGAAAAUUUGCCCUGCGUCUCUAUGUCCAUACUAUCCAUCCUAAAUAGUAUGUGAGAUUAGAAUAAGUGUGUCCAAAAGCAUGCUGAAAAAAGUAUGCCAAAAGUCCCCGGAUGGUCUACUAUUUCAGGUCGAUUUUUGAAGUGUGGAUCUGUGCACACUCUAAUGGCUAAAAUUGCCCACAAUCCAUUGCGCUUUGGCAAAAGAUUCGAUCCAGAACUACAAACACAAAUAAAACGUGUUUUAAAUAAAACUACAGAAACUACAAACGUGGUAGAUGCACGCGAUCGGCGGUUAGAGGUUUACAAAAAGGGGUUUGGGUUACUAAUAAUCAACCUUUAACCUGGUGAAAAUAUUUAUUUAUUGUUAUCAGUAUUAUAUUUCAUCUGCAACAGCAAUGUAAGCUUUUGUAAACAUGCAUUUGGUCGUUAGCUUUUAAAUGCAUCAUUAUGGAGAAAAUGAGCAGAGUUCUCUGCAUGAAAGACCCGCAACUGGCAGAUCAACAAGCUACUUCUUUUCUCUCCAGUACAGUAGGAAGUUAAAUGAAGUGAAAUGUGAAGGAUGUUAACUGUGACAAGAUGAUUGACAGGCCAGUUUACAGUGACAGGGUGUGUGUAACAGGUACGACAGAGGGGUCCUUUAAAGAAGCAAUUGUAUGACGUUAUAGUAGCCUAUGUCCCAAAGCUCGCCUACUCUUCUACUACUCACUCAAAAGUGUGUACUUUUUCUUCACCAAAAGAGUACAUACUUUAAGAGCGUAGUAUAAGUAGUCACAUUGAGACGCAGGGGAAGUGUACAUCUGAUGGACAUUUUGCACCCUGCCAUAUCCCAGAAUCACUUGCAUGCAGAUGACGAUGGAAUUUGUUCAAAGAACAUGGAGGAUGACAGUUCUGUGGGGGAAUUCACAUUGAAAUGACUAUUCUGGAGAAAAGGAGCCUGCUGGGGAAAGACACAAGGAUGUGCUGUUUUCUUUCAAAUCAACGCAUAAAUACACUUAUUGAAAACGUAUCCUGACACGGCUGACACAGAAGAACAGCGGAUGAUGAUGUCAUGGACAUACUCAAGUAAAAAACAAAGCUCAGGGGUUCUCCCUAUCAAGGCUGGAGCUAAAGACUGCAGGAGUUGAGAACCCCCGUUCUAGUAGUUACCAGCAGCAGCAGUGUCACCUUUUGCCCCUGUGCAUCGAGGACUCAUUAGAGAGGGGGUGGUCCCUCUCAGUUGAGAUCUGGUCUAGUGCCCUAGGUAUGUGCCUGGUAGGCCUGUUCAUUAAUCCAGCUCUGAAUGCACAGAUGCAUCACAUCAUCAUAAAUAGUAUGACCACGUCUGUACUCAACACACACACACACACACACACACACACACACACACACACACACACACACACACACACACACACACACACACACACACACACACACACACAUUGGGUUUCCAUGUUUAUGGGGACAUUUUACAUAUGUAAUACUAAUGAUUUGUAUACUGUAUAAACCUACCCC
ensembl:lncRNA